GCAUCACAAGUGAGGAUCAAAUAAAACAAACUGAAGACAUGCUGAGGCUGUCCGUGAGAACUCAAAACAAACUGAAGAGCAGACAUAGCUGAGAAGUGUACAGACUAUCAGGGAAUUUGGUGAGACUAUAGAAGACAAUUUGACAUGAAAAUAUUGUGAGAAAGCAGAUACCAUAAAGUGUCUUCAUACAGACUUGACAACAUUGGGAACUGUGGACUGUGCUAGAAGACUGCAAUACAGCUACAGAGGUAGACAGCAAACUGGCUAUCCGCCAGCAAACUUCAAGUCUAAUAACGAGCUCUUUAGGGAAACAGUCAUCAGUUUCUUUUAUACUUCACAGACCACCAAUGAAGGUCAUCACAUUGAGACUCUUCAUUCUGCCACGCUGGCAAAAAGGACUGUGGCUAACAACCGCCUUACACUUUACAGGGUAAAUAUCCAUGGAAGACAUGCCCAAAGCACAUUUGCUGUACAAAGUGUGAGGCAGCUCUAGGUCUCUAUACACCCAG